GGGGACGUAGCUCAAUUGGGAGAGCACUGCCUUUGCAAGGCAGGGGUUGAGGGUUCGACCCCUUCGUCUCCA
rnacentral:tRNA from 1 species